rnacentral:rRNA from 1 species
AUGGUUGAAACACUGAAAUGCACUGAAAUUCUGAUGGUUUUUGAUUUCUGCUUUUCCUUCUUGGCAGACUUCCGGUUCUUGAAAAGGCUUAUUCUUGUCCAUGGACGAUACUCGCACAACCGUACUGCCUUCCUUUCGCAGUAUUCAUUCUACAAUUAUUGCCGAACAAGUUUAUUCAAUUCAGUUAGUUGGAUGGCUUAUAAUGUCUUCUAUGCAAGCAUUCCUGUUCUAACUACUGCUCUGGACAAGGAUUUAUCUGAAAAGACAGUGGCACAGAACCCAGAAAUUUUACUUUACUGCCAGGCUGGAAGGCUUUUAAUCCAAAAUUAUGAGUUCUUAAACUCAUCCUUUCACUUUUCUGCAGUUUCUGGCUAUAUGGGGAAACUUUGCUGCUUUCUACUACAUCAUAAAUUUCUGUAUCAGCAGUUCAGCACCAUACCAACUGCUGGGAUGUACACUAUCAUGUACCGCCUUUGUAGACAGCCGCCAUACUGGAUAACAAUGCUGCUAAUCAGUGGAGUUGGCAUGGGUCCUGUAAUAGCUCUGAGAUAUUUCAGAUGUACAUACAGUCCUAGUGCUAUUAACACUCUUCAGAAGGCCGAGCGAUCACGUGGCCAAUGUAAUCUGGAAUCUCAACUGAGAUCAGUGAACGAUAAUUCGACCAGCUAUCGAGCGACGAUGCUGAUUCCGCGGACCACGUCUAGGACUGGGACAAGAAUCGCCCACCGGCCACCGCACCGCCUGUUCCACGUUCUCAUCCACGCGUUCGUCGUGGCUCGCGGUCCCUCGCGGACACGGUCAGCGAUCAACGGCAACCUCGCCACACACAGGGCAUCACAUCGCAUGGCCCGUCGCGACCCGAGCAACCUAGAAAUUUCCCGGUCCGUUCGCGCCCACCCGUCCGCCAGCGCGGCGAAGCCGUGUCCGGUAAGGAAAGGAACCGGUUGGCGCCAGGCCGCCUCCCCCUCCCCCACCGCCUCCGCGGCGGCUAUAAAACGCGCCCAGGUGCGCCCUCUCCUCCCCGCGCUCCGGUCCCGUCCCUCCUCCGACCUUUCUCGGCAUUCGAAUCCGGCCCGUGUCCUCCGCCUCCGUGCGAGCUCGGGAAGCGAUCGAUCGGGGGAUUCAUCCACUUGUGGCCUCCGUUUGGUUUGCGAUUCUAUCUCUGAAUCUGUUUUGUGUGUCCGCUUCUGUUUGCAACUGCGGAUCCUGUGUUCCUCGUAUUCGUAUUCGCAUCCGCGCGCGUUGGUUGCAGGAUCGUCGAGCCUGGUUUUCGGAAUUGGAGCUCUAAAUUGUGGAGCUGGAGGCCGAGGCAAGAUGUUGGAAUCACACGGCUUAGCGGGUGGCCCAGUUUUCCCUCGGCACGGCGAGGCGUAUCGUGCUCGUUGCAGAUUUAUUUUAGCCCAGAGAGUGCUGGUAGCCAUAUUUAGGAAGUUUGUGCUUAUGGGCAAAUCUCUGUACAGUGAGUCAGGUCAGUGUUCUAUCAACGGUUUGUUUGGUUUAGUUGUGUUCCUCCACACAUUGGUUGCAGGAUUGGAUCUGGAAUGUGGAGAUCCCUUUGGUGUUCAGAUGCAGGAGUGUAGUAUUUCUGCACAGAUGAAUCAUAGGGUGGAGGUCGUAGUUGAUGAACUCAAGUCCAACCUGAUUGAGCCCAAACCAUGCUGGUUCAUUUCUCCUAACCAAAAAUUUAUAGAGAAGGCCUCUUGCUCGCUGCAGGUUGUAGUUGAAGAACUCCUUUCCAACCCGGUUUUUGCCCCUGCCCUUCCUAUGGUUGCAGAUUGUUCUUUAGCCCAGGCCAUGUGGGCAAUGACUAGCUCUCCAUGGUUGUUACACUUGAUCCCUGUGCUCUCUUGGUCUUCUGCGAGUGUCGGUUGGCAAGAUAUAAUAGUUAGGAGUUUGGGCCCAAACCUUUGCUCUGUACAUGGAGUCAGGGUACUUGAGGCAGGUCAGUUUCCCAUGUUUGGUCACAUUGAUUUACUGGAUUCCUCAUCUGUGCUUGGUGACGUCAGAUUUGAGUGGCUCUACCUUAAGUUCCUGGUUUAUGUUUGUCUGAUGGCUGUUUGGGAGCUUCGUUCUGGAUGGAGGAGUCUUCCUCGACCACAAAAACUUAAACCUGGACUCCAUGCUUGUUUCAACUGA